rnacentral:rRNA from 1 species
AUUGAACGCUGGCGGAAUGCUUUACACAUGCAAGUCGAACGGCAGCACGGGGGCAACCCUGGUGUCGAGUGGCGAACGGGUGAGUAAUACAUCGGAACGUGCCCGGUCGUGGGGGAUAACGUAGCGAAAGUUACGCUAAUACCGCAUCCGAUCUGAUGAUGAAAGCGGGGGACCUUCGGGCCUCGCGCGAUCGGCGCGGCCGAUGUCAGAUUAGGUAGUUGGUGGGGUAAAGGCCUACCAAGCCGACGAUCUGUAGCUGGUCUGAGAGGACGACCUGCCACACUGGGACUGAGACACGGCCCAGACUCCUACGGGAGGCAGCAGUGGGGAAUUUUGGACAAUGGGCGCAAGCCUGAUCCAGCCAUUCCGCGUGCAGGACGAAGGCCUUCGGGUUGUAAACUGCUUUUGUAUGGAACGAAAAGGCUCUGGCUAAUACCUGGGGCUCAUGACGGUACCGUAAGAAUAAGCACCGGCUAACUACGUG